UGAAUGGGGAAUUUUUGGUAGGAACCCUAGCUAAGUAGAUAAGAACGAGAUAAAAGUAGAGAUGAUAAUGUUUCAUUUCUUGCCCGAGCAGAGUGCUGGGUCACUUAUAUAGUCUUACAGAAUUACAGAGUUGGUGGCCUUCAGCCGUUGGAUCUAGGCUAGGGCUCUCAGCCGUUGGAUCUACAUAACUGUACCAAACGUUAUCUGCUAGACUGAUGAAUGGUUAAACUGAAGAAAUGUUCAGAUAGCAGGGUUGUGACAAUGCUCCCCGUGGAGAUCACACUUGUCCUCAAGUUGUGUUUUGUGGAAACCAGGAUCGGAUCGUUUGUUUGAAGAAUGCUGGGAACACUUGCUUGAUGAAGUUUGCAUCCUCCCAAGAUGUUUCAUUAGGUUCCAAGUUGGCCCAUCGGAUCAGCCACUGAGUGACCAAAACCCCUUUGCGUGGCAAGGAUCGUGUUUCCAAUACAGUGAUUAGCUAAGUUCUGAUCUUGCCAUCUUCUCCCACCAGUGGCAGUUCCUGUUCUGGGACAGCAUGGGUGCCUUUAUGGCCCUUGAGCUGACUAACAUGGAAAACCGGGUGGAUUUGAAUAUGGGAUGGUAAUAGAAGUUUGUAUGAGGAGUUGCCUACUUUCUUCAAGAUUCGAAAAGGCCCAUAGAACUUGGUAGUGUGCUUGAUAGCUUGCCUCAAUCCGAAUGAUGCCAUUCUGUAGGGUUGCAUUUUGAGGUAUACCAUAUCCCCUUCUUGGAAUGAUCUUUCACUCCUGUUCCUGUCAGCAUAUUUUUUUCAUUCUUUGCUGGGCUUGUUGCAGAUUUUCCUUCAAGUGUGUUAUUGUCUUCUGUUUCUCUUCAAGUAAUUGUUGGGCUUCAGCAUCGGGAGGUCCUGGGACAGCCACUUCACUGAUCAUGGGUGGUUCAUACCCAUAUAACGCCUUGAAGGGGGUUUCUUUAGUAGAAGUGUGAUAGGAGGUGUUGUACCACCACUCCGCUAAUGACAACCAAUCAGCCCAUUUCUUUGGUUCCUUGAAUGUCAUGCAUCUCAGAUAUGGCUCGAGGCAUGGUUAACUCGCUCGGACUGACCUUCUGUUUGUGGGUGGUGAGCAGUGCUCAGUUUGAGUUGAAAAUCCAUAGAUUUGAAUACUGCUUGCCACAUGUUGCUUGUGAAGAUCCUAUCUCUAUCAGUUACAAUAGACACUGGUGGUCCAUGCAAUUUGAAGACAAUGUCGAUGAAAGCUUGGGCCACUGUCUGCACAUUGUAAGGGUGGGGUAAUGCAAUGAAAUGGGCGUACUUUGUAUAUCUAUCCACCACCACCAAAAUUACCUCUUUUCCCUUAGACUUAGGGAGCCCUUCCACAAAGUCCAUGGUUAUAUCAGUCCACGCUUGGGUUGGGAGUGGUAGGGGAUCCAGCAGGCCAGGAUAUUGGCAAUGUUCUGACUUUGCUCUCUGGCAAAUAGCACACUCAGCAAUGAACUUGUGCACCUGCUUUUUGAGGCCAGGCCAAUAGAAGAUCCUUUUGAUCCUUUGGUAGUUUGCCACCAUUCCUGAAUGUCCCCCAAGGGCAGAUGUGUGAAAGGAGUUUAUUAUUUGCUCUUUGAUGUGUUCUUCCUUGCCAAUAUAAAUUCCGCCCUUAUAUCUCAAGAUGCCCCCUGAUAGUGUAUAAUGAGAUGUUUUAUCAGGAGCAAUGGCCAAUUGUUGCAGCAAAUGCUGACAGUGCUCAUCUUGCUCAUAACUGUUCUCCACAACCUCAAUCCAGGAAGGUGUGAAGGUUGUGAUUGCCAUGAGUGUAUUAUCUUUUCUGCUCAAUGCAUCGGCCACUUUAUUUUCUUUCCCCUUCUUGUAUUCAAUGGAGUAAUUGAACUCCAACAGCUUGAGUAGGAGUUUGUGCUGCAGCCCUUCAGAAACUUUCUGCUUAGUGAUAAACUUAAGACUUUUUUGGUCAGUUUUUAUGACUAAUUCCAGUCCCUGGAAGUAGUGCCUCCACUUUUUAAGGGCUUCCAAUAUUGCCAAGGCUUCUUUUUCAUAAGUUGACAUAGCAGCAGCUUUCAUGCCCAAUGUUUUGCUGAAAUAUGCUAUGGGUCUACCAUUUUGCAUCAAUACUGCACCUAUACCAUACCCACUAGCAUCAGUUUCCAGUACAAAUUUUUCUUUGAAGUUUGGUAGGGCCAGAACUAGGCAGUGGUUAGUUUCUGUUUUAGCAAAUUGAAGGCUUCAGUUUGCUCCUCUGUCCAGUGGAAGGAGUUCUUCUUGAGGAUGUUGUGGAGUGGUCUGCAAAUGAGCCCAUAGUUGGGAACAAAUCUUCUAUAGUACCCAGCCAUGCCCAAGAAACUUCUCAGUUGAGUGAUUGUUUUUGGUAAGGGCCAAUCUCUCACAGUGGAUACCUUGGUAGGAUCGGUGGCUACGCCAGCAUAAGAGAUAAUAUGGCCAAGGUAUUCCACUUGGGGAGCAGCAAACACACAUUUGCUCAUUUUAGCAUAUGAUUGCUGUUCCCUCAAGAUUUGUAGCACUAUCCUCAAGUGCCUAAUGUGGUCUUCCAGUGUCUUACUAUAGAUUAAGAUAUCAUCAAAGAAGACGAGGACAAAGUGCCUGAGGUUCUCCUUGAAAAUGAAAUUCAUCAAUGCUUGGAAUGUGGCUGGUGCAUUAGUAAGGCCAAAGGGCAUGACCAGGUACUCGAAAUGCCCCAAGAAUGUAGUGAAGGCAGUUUUGGGUAUGUCUUCCUUUUUCAUCCUUAUUUGGUAAUACCCAGAUCUGAGAUCUAUUUUUGUAAAAUAUUUGGCCCCAUGCAAUUCAUCCAACAAAUCUUCAAUGAUUGGUAUUGGAAAUUUGUUUUUGAUGGUUUGGUCAUUGAGUUUUCUGAAAUCUGUGCACAACCUCCAGGUGCCAUCUUUCUUUUUGACAAGCAAUGCAGGAGCUGCAUACGGACUAUCACUAGGCCUUAUGAUUGAAGCGUCUAGUACUUGUUUGAUCUGUUUUUCCAUCUCUUCUUUUUGGUGAUGAGGCACCCUAUAAGGUCUGAGUGCUGGUGGCUCAGAUCCUGUUUUGAGAGGGAUUGCAUGGUCAAAACCUCUUUGAGGUGGAUGUUCCGUUGGUUUUUCAAACACAUCCUGGAAUUCUUGUAGUACUUCCUUCACAGAGUUUUCUAUUGGUGCCGUUUCUGUUUUAUCCUUGGCCUUCGGAAAUAGGAAAUAUCCUUCUGUUAUUUUAUUCUUACUGGCUAUCAAUUUGUGUAAGGAGAUUGGAGGGAUUCCCUUGGCAAAUGUCUUAUCCUAUAGAGUAAUUGUUUUCUCUCUCUUCCAGUUGAUUGUCAUCAGCCUCUCAUCAAAGUCUAAGGAUAUUGGGUUGUGCUCCAACAGCCAAUCACAACCCAAAAUAAUUCCGUACCCUUUCAGUGGGAGUAGUUUGAAACUGUUGGAGAACUCAUGGCCUUGUAUGGAGUAAUUUGCAGAAGGAAUGUGGGCUCCUGUCUGCAACUUACCCCCACCAGCAAUAUGGACUGUCUGCAAAUCAUUCCUAGCAAUAGUGCAUUUAGUUGUUGUUGCAAAGGAUAGAUCCAUAAAGGUGUUGGUGCUUCCUGAGUCCACCAGUGCUAGCCCCUUUUUGCCUCCAAUAUCCACCCACAUGGUGAAGGUAGCCGCCGUGCUUUUUCCUCUAACCACUUGCAUGGAUAUCAGCAUGAGUUUCUCAUCAAUAUUUGGUGAAGUAGUUGGUUGUUCCUCGUCUUGCUGGUAGUUGUUAUUCUGCAUUUGUUCAUCCAGCUCUAAUUCUUCUUCUUCUGUGGCCAUCAGAUUGAGAGUUUUGUAUUGUGCACAUUUGUGUCCAAGAAACCACUUUUGUCCAUAGUACCUGCACUGCCCACGUUCUCUGUAUUUUACUUCUGGCCUAGUACUCUGCCUAUCUGCUAUUCUGGUGUUAGCAUAGUCGACUGGUUUUGGUUUAGUGGGUAAGGUAUUUGUGGCAGUGGUCUUUUGAUAGUACCCUGUUUGCUGGUAUUUUCUGGACUGGUUAGAAGCAUUUGCUCCCUGUUCCAUGUCUCUGGCAGUCUCUACUGCAUUAUAGAGAGAGGCUGGCUUAAAUGGCUUGAGGUAGUGUUUAAUUUCUUCUCUUAAACCAUUGAUGUAGCACUUGACAUAAUACUGCUCUUUUACUUCAGGGUUUUCUUUCUUGUAGCAUGCUAUUUUGUCUUCAAAUCGGUCUGUGUACUCUGCUACAGUACUGGCCCCUUGUUUGAUUGAGUUGAAAUCAGCUACUGCUUCAUAAGAGCUGCUAUCAGCAAAUCGUUUGCACAAUACUUUGCAGAAUUCUUUCCAGGUGGGGUUUUCUUGGAGUAUGCCAGAGUUCCUCAACCAAGUGUCAGCUCUCCCAAUGAUAUACAUCUGAGCAUAGUCAAACUUUGCACUUUCGGGUACAAACACCAUUGCAAAGUAUUUCUCUGUGAGCCUUAACCACUCUUGUGGAUUGGAGCCAUCAAAUCUGGGAAACUCCAUCUUCUGCGCUUUUGCAGUGGAUUUGUAGAACUGAGCCUCUUUGUCAAAUUCUUGUUAUCUUUCUCCCCUGAAGUUACUGCCCCCUGCUCUAUCAUGAUAGCUCAUUGGAGGAGCUUGUUGCUGGUAAUGUUGCUGUUGGGGUUGACCAGUCGCAAGGUUUGGGUGUGGGGGGUAUUGUGGUUGAAGUUGAGAGUGGGGAUAUUGGCUAUUGGGCGCAUUAUAUUGCUGUUGGGGUGGUGGGUAAUGACAGGGAAGUUGGUGUUGAUAGUUUGGUUGUGGUUGGUAAGUAGGUAGGAAGUUGUUGUUCUGUGGGGGGAAAGGUAGGAUUGAAGUGGUUGUGUUGUGGGGGGAGUUGAUUGUGUUGUGGGGGGUAAACAGGAGGUGGUGGAGGGUAAACUGGGGGUGGUCUAUAAAUGGGGGGUUGGUGAACUGGAUAGUGGGUUGGGUUUUGAGGGAAUUGGUUUUGGUUAUACUGUUGUGUCAUGGGUUGUUGACAAUCCCAAUGGGGCUAUUGGCCAGUAGGCAUGGAAGUAUUGGCUCCUUCUGGGAAUAUGGGAAACUGUGGGUCUGUCCAUUGCUGGAAUUCCCUUCCAGAUGUUUCAAAAUACAUCUGCUCUGGACCUUCUUCAUUGGCUUCUCCCCUUGUGUAAUUAACUGGCUCCUGAGAUGGCCCACUUCUUCUUCUCCAGUGAGGAAUUUCAGUAUGCCAAAUCACAGCUUCCUCUUGACCAGGGAUGGGUUGGGUUUGGGGUCUCUGGCCGGUCUCAGCUUCUCUUCCUUGGUCACAGGUUGCUGGGGGAGUGCUUGGCCCAUGCUUCUCCUUCAGCAGGGAUUCCAUUCUCUUCAUGCUUUCGUUCAACGCUGCCACUUGCUCUUGCAUCCCUUCCACUUUAUUGUUGAUCUCAUUGGUUCUUGCCCCCACGUUGUCUAACUCGAGCUUCAUGGCUGCCACUUCCUGGGCAUCUGCCUUCUCCUCCUGAGUCUUCGAUUUCGCCAUCAGGUCACAAGCAAGGUACGGAAUUUUACCUGGGCACUCGUCCCGAACCCUUCCUGCUCGUGGCCUGCUGCCGCCGCCUCUAGGUUGCGCCUCCAGAAGACGCACGGAUCUGCCUGGGUCGUGGGAUUUUACCACCGCAACGUUGUGCUACAGCAACCGCACCCCCGCUACAGACCUGCGUCUGAACUAGUCUACCGCCGCCUAUGCCUCCCCGAGCUCCACGCCGCUGCCAAGCUCCACCGAAGACCAACGGCUACUGAUACCAAUUGUCAGAUCCCACUGGAGAUCGACAAGGAAAAUGACUCCCGAUGUUGGAGCACUCGCUAUGAAUGGGGAAUUUUUGGUAGGAACCCUAGCUAAGUAGAUAAGAACGAGAUAAAAGUAGAGAUGAUAAUGUUUCAUUUCUUGCCCGAGCAGAGUGCUGGGUCACUUAUAUAGUCUUACAGAAUUACAGAGUUGGUGGCCUUCAGCCGUUGGAUCUAGGCUAGGGCUCUCAGCCGUUGGAUCUACAUAACUGGACCAAACGUUAUCUGCUAGACUGAUGAAUGGUUAAACUGAAGAAAUGUUCAGAUAGCAGGGUUGUGACAAUGCUCCCCAUGGAGAUCACACUUGUCCUCAAGUUGUGUUUUGUGGAAACCAGGAUCGGAUCGUUUGUUUGAAGAAUGCUGGGAACACUUGCUUGAUGAAGUUUGCAUCCUCCCAAGAUGUUUCAUUAGGUUCCAAGUUGGCCCAUCGGAUCAGCCACUGAGUGACCAAAACCCCUUUGCGUGGCAAGGAUCGUGUUUCCAAUACAGUGAUUAGCUAAGUUCUGAUCUUGCCAUCUUCUCCCACCAGUGGCAGUUCCUGUUCUGGGAUAGCAUGGAUGCCUUUAUGGCCCUUGAGCUGACUAACAUGGAAAACUGGGUGGAUUUGAAUAUGGGAUGGUAAUAGAAGUUUGUAUGAGGAGUUGCCUACUUUCUUCAAAAUUCGUAAAGGCCCAUAGAACUUGGUAGUGUGCUUGAUAGCUUGCCUCAAUCCGAAUGAUGCCAUUCUGUAGGGUUGCAUUUUGAGGUAUACCAUAUCCCCUUCUUGGAAUGAUCUUUCACUCCUGUUCCUGUCAGCAUAUUUUUUUCAUUCUUUGCUGGGCUUGUUGCAGAUUUUCCUUCAAGUGUGUUAUUGUCUUCUGUUUCUCUUCAAGUAAUUGUUGGGCUUCAGCAUCGGGAGGUCCUGGGACAGCCACUUCACUGAUCAUGGGUGGUUCAUACCCAUAUAACGCCUUGAAGGGGGUUUCUUUAGUAGAAGUGUGAUAGGAGGUGUUGUACCACCACUCCGCUAAUGACAACCAAUCAGCCCAUUUCUUUGGUUCCUUGAAUGUCAUGCAUCUCAGAUAUGGCUCGAGGCAUGGUUAACUCGCUCGGACUGACCUUCUGUUUGUGGGUGGUGAGCAGUGCUCAGUUUGAGUUGAAAAUCCAUAGAUUUGAAUACUGCUUGCCACAUGUUGCUUGUGAAGAUCCUAUCUCUGUCAGUUACAAUAGACACUGGUGGUCCAUGCAAUUUGAAGACAUUGUCGAUGAAAGCUUGGGCCACUGUCUGCACAUUGUAAGGGUGGGCUAAUGCAAUGAAAUGGGCGUACUUUGUAUAUCUAUCCACCACCACCAAAAUUACCUCUUUUCCCUUAGACUUAGGGAGCCCUUCCACAAAGUCCAUGGUUAUAUCAGUCCAUGCUUGGGUUGGGAGUGGUAGGGGAUCCAGUAGGCCAGGAUAUUGGCAAUGUUCUGACUUUGCUCUCUGGCAAAUAGCACACUCAGUAAUGAACUUGUGCACCUGCUUUUUGAGGCCAGGCCAAUAGAAGAUCCUUUUGAUCCUUUGGUAGUUUGCCACCAUUCCUGAAUGUCCCCAAAGGGCAGAUGUGUGAAAGGAGUUUAUUAUUUGCUCUUUGAUGUGUUCUUCCUUGCCAAUAUAAAUUCCGCCCUUAUAUCUCAAGAUGUCCCCUGAUGGUGUAUAAUGAGAUGUUUUAUCAAGAGCAAUGGCCAAUUGUUGCAGCAAAUGCUGACAGUGCUCAUCUUGCUCAUAACUGUUCUCCACAGCCUCAAUCUAGGAAGGUGUGAAGGUUGUGAUUGCCAUGAGUGUAUUAUCUUUUCUGCUCAAUGCAUCGCCCCUUUAUUUUCUUGCCCCUUCUUGUAUUCAAUGGAGUAAUUGAACUCCAACAGCUUGAGUAGGAGUUUGUGCUGCAGCCCUUCAGAAACUUUCUGCUCAGUGAUAAACUUAAGACUUUUCUGGUCAGUUUUUAUGACUAAUUCCAGUCCCUGAAAGUAGUGCCUCCACUUUUUAAGGGCUUCCAAUAUUGCCAAGGCUUCUUUUUCAUAAGUUGACAUAGCAGCAACUUUCAUGCCCAGUGUUUUGCUUAAAUAUGCUAUAGGUCUACCAUUUUGCAUCAGUACUGCACCUAUACCAUACCCACUAGCAUCAGUUUCCAGUACAAAUUUUUCUUUGAAGUUUGGUAGGGCCAGAACUGGGGCAGUGGUUCGUUUCUGUUUUAGCAAAUUGAAGGCUUCAGUUUGCUCCUCUGUCCAGUGGAAGGAGUUCUUCUUGAGGAUGUUGUGGAGUGGUCUGCAAAUGAGCCCAUAGUUGGGAACAAAUCUUCUAUAGUACCCAGCCAUGCCCAAGAAACUUCUCAGUUGAGUGAUUGUUUUUGGUAAGGGCCAAUCUCUCAUAGUGGAUACCUUGGUAGGAUCGGUGGCUACGCCAGCAUAAGAGAUAAUAUGGCCAAGGUAUUCCAGUUGGGGAGCAGCAAACACACAUUUGCUCAUUUUAGCAUAUGGUUGCUGUUCCCUCAAGAUUUGUAGCAAUAUCCUCAAGUGCCUAAUGUGGUCUUCCAGUGUCUUACUAUAGAUUAAGAUAUCAUCAAAGAAGACGAGGACAAAGUGCCUGAGGUGCUCCUUGAAAAUGAAAUUCAUCAAUGCUUGGAAUGUGGCCGGUGCAUUAGUAAGGCCAAAGGGCAUGACCAGGUACUCGAAAUGCCCCAAGAAUGUAGUGAAGGCAGUUUUGGGUAUGUCUUCCUUUUUCAUCCUUAUUUGGUAAUACCCAGAUCUGAGAUCUAUUUUUGUAAAAUAUUUGGCCCCAUGCAAUUCAUCCAACAAAUCUUCAAUGAUUGGUAUUGGAAAUUUGUUUUUGAUGGUUUGGUCAUUGAGUUUUCUGAAAUCUGUGCACAACCUCCAG
rnacentral:lncRNA from 1 species